rnacentral:pre_miRNA from 1 species
UAAUCACGAUCAUGAUGAUGAUGAUGAUGAUGAUGAUGAUCAUGCUGCUGAUGAUAGCAGCACCAUUAUCAUCAUCAUCAUCAUCAUCAUUUACA